UUCAUCGCAUGAAAUUGCGUAAAUAUCCCGCAUAUUCCAUCGCAUUUUUUAAGAAAACGUGCCGCAUAAUCAAAGAUUUUUGCCAAUCACAAAAAGACUGAGAUUUUUCUGGAAGGACUGAUGAUUGUCAUGAAUUGAUCCUACAUAUAAGGCUACAGCUACACUACUACGUUUUGGUUUAAAAACGAAUGUCUUUAGCUACGUAUAGGCCUCAUGUCCACACUGCUCCGGCCUUCUCGAGAUCCUAAAACAGAGACAUUUGGAGACACUGCUGCCCCCGUUUUGGUUUGAAAACUCCGGGGUUGCGUUGUAGUCUGGACGGACAGAAACGGAGACGUUUGGAAACGAGGAAGCGCGUCAGUCUUAUCGGUUAGAUAGCUUACAGACCUUUCAGUAACAGUUCCACCUCGUUGUCAGUCCAAGGUAAUACAUCCCUGCUCUUACUGUUCACCGUUGUUGUGUCUUUUCUGUAUUUUCAACUUCUACAUCCAUGAUUUUCAACCGCAGAGUAACACCAGACUAUCUGCUUCCUGUUUACACCGACACGCACGUGCCCAGUGUGUGUGACCGAACGGUCAUGUGAUAUGUGUUGUCAGACGGCUUGGAGCUAAAACUCUUGUGUGGACGGAGAUCGUUUUUAUCUCAAAAACGCCGCUUAAAAAUGAAAACGUAGCUGUGAAGACGUAGCCUUAAAAUUGGAACUCGGUGUAGUAAGAUGUCUGUUGUCAUGUUCAAACAGCUGCUUGUUUACAGAUGUUCUCUUGUUGAGACCGGCUGGGAACGUUUAGAGAAGGGUGUGCUGCUAAAUGUUCGUCUCUGAUCAGCUUGGACUGCGUGUGCUCACUUUGCCAGAAGUCUUUAUCUACUGUUAAUGAUGAUGUUUUAUAUUGAAUCACUCAAUUAAAUUUCAAGAAAUCU